ACUGCUCAGUAACACGUGGACAAUCUGCCCUGAAGUGGAGAAUAAUCCCGGGAAACUGGGGGUAAUACUCCAUAGUUCGUUAUUACUGGAAUGUUUUUCGAACGAAAGAUCCGUCGCUUCAGGAUGAGUCUGCGGCCGAUUAGGUAGUUGUUGGGGUAAUUGCCCAACAAGCCUGUAAUCGGUACGGGUUGUGGGAGCAAGAGCCCGGAGAUGGAUUCUGAGACACGAAUCCAGGCCCUACGGGGCGCAGCAGGCGCGAAAACUUUACCAUGCGGGCAACCGUGAUAAGGAAACCCCGAGUGCCAGCACAGGCUGGCUGUCCGCCAGUUUAAACAACUGGCGAAGAAAGGGCCGGGCAAGACCGGUGCCAGCCGCCGCGGUAAUACCGGCGGCUCGAGUGGUGGCCGCUAUUACUGGGCUUAAAGGGUCCGUAGCUUGAUAAUAGGGUCCCUUGAGAAAUCCGCCGGCUUAACUGGCGGGCGUUCAGGGGAAACUUUUUCUAGGGACCGGGAGAGGUGAGGGGUACUGCCGGGGUAGGAGUGAAAUCCUGUAAUCCCGGUGGGACCACCUAUGGCGAAGGCAUCUCACCAGAACGGGUCCGACAGUGAGGGACGAAAGCUGGGGGAGCAAACCGGAUUAGAUACCCGGGUAGUCCUAGCCGUAAACGAUACUCGCUAGGUGUCGGCCACGGUGCGACCGUUGUCGGUGCCGUAGGGAAGCCGUGAAGCGAGCCACCUGGGAAGUACGGCCGCAAGGCUGAAACUUAAAGGAAUUGGCGGGGGAGCAC
rnacentral:rRNA from 1 species